rnacentral:rRNA from 1 species
AGUCGAGGAUCUUCGGCAAUGGGCGCAAGCCUGACCGAGCGAGGCCGCGUGGGCGAUGAAGGCCUUCGGGUUGUAAAGCCCUGUCGAGGGGGAGAAAGGGGAAACCUUGAUCUAUCCCUGGAGGAAGCACGGGCUAAGUUCGUGCCAGCAGCCGCGGUAAGACGAACCGUGCGAACGUUGUUCGGAAUCACUGGGCUUAAAGGGCGCGUAGGCGGGCUAUCAAGUCCGGGGUGAAAUCCUCCAGCUCAACUGGAGAACGGCCUCGGAUACUGAUGGUCUCGAGGGAGAUAGGGGCACACGGAACUGUGGGUGGAGCGGUGAAAUGCGUUGAUAUCCAUAGGAACUCCGGUGGCGAAAGCGGUGUGCUGGAUCUCUUCUGACGCUGAGGCGCGAAAGCCAGGGGAGCAAA